rnacentral:rRNA from 1 species
AUUGCCUCAGUAACGGCGAGUGAAGUGGCAACAGCUCAAAUUUGAAAUCUGGCCUCAGGCCCGAGUUGUAAUUUAUAGAGGAUGCUUUUGGUUAGGUGCCUUCCGAGUUCCCUGGAAUGGGACGCCAUAGAGGGUGAGAGCCCCGUCUGGUCGGAUGCCGAGCCUCUGUAAAGCUCCCUCGACGAGUCGAGUAGUUUGGGAAUGCUGCUCAAAAUGGGAGGUAUAUGUCUUCUAAAGCUAAAUACCGGGCAGAGACCGAUAGCGCACAAGUAGAGUGAUCGAAAGAUGAAAAGCACUUUGAAAAGAGAGUUAAAUAGCACGUGAAAUUGUUAAAAGGGAAGCGUUUGUGACCAGACUUGCGCCGACUGAUCAACCAGCGUUCUCGCUGGUGCACUCUGUCGGCUCAGGCCAGCAUCGGUUCGCCCCGGGGGACAAAAGCUAGGGGAAUGUGGCUCCUCGGAGUGUUAUAGCCCCUAGCAUAAUACCCUGAGGCGGACCGAGGUUCGCGCAUUGCAAGGAUGCUGGCGUAAUGGUCAUCAACGACCCGUCUUGAAACACGGACCAAGGAGUCGUCUUCGUAUGCGAGUGUUCGGGUGUCAAACCCCUACGCGUAAUGAAAGUGAACGCAGGUGAGAGCUUCGGCGCAUCAUCGACCGAUCCUGAUGUUCUCGGAUGGAUUUGAGUAAGAGCAUACGGGGCCGGACCCGAAAGAAGGUGAACUAUGCUUGUAUAGGGUGAAGCCUGGGGAAACCCCGGUGGAGGCUCGCAGCGGUUCUGACGUGCAAAUCGAUCGUCAAAUAUGAGCAUGGGGGCGAAAGACUAAU